rnacentral:rRNA from 1 species
UACGAAGGGUGCAAACGUUGCUCGGAAUCAUUGGGCGUAAAGCGCACGUAGGCGGCUUGCCAAGUCGGACGUGAAAUCCCUCAGCUCAACUGAGGACGUGCAUCCGAAACUGGCGAGCUUGAGUACUGAAGAGGAUCGCGGAAUUCCCGGUGUAGAGGUGAAAUUCGUAGAUAUCGGGAGGAACACCAGUGGCGAAGGCGGCGACCUGGACAGUUACUGACACUCAACUACGAAAGCGUGGGGAGCAAACAGG